GCUUUCGUGGUGUAGUUGGUUAUCACGUCAGUCUAACACACUGAAGGUCUCGAGUUCAAACCUCGACGAAAGUA
rnacentral:tRNA from 3 species